rnacentral:rRNA from 1 species
UGAACGCUGGCGGCGUGCCUAAUACAUGCAAGUCGAACGAUGAAGCUCUAGCUUGCUAGAGUGGAUUAGUGGCGCACGGGUGAGUAAUGCAUAGAUAACAUGCCCUUUAGUCUAGGAUAGCCAUUGGAAACGAUGAUUAAUACUGGAUACUCCUUACGAGGGAAAGUUUUUCGCUAAAGGAUUGGUCUAUGUCCUAUCAGCUUGUUGGUGAGGUAAUGGCUCACCAAGGCUAUGACGGGUAUCCGGCCUGAGAGGGUGAACGGACACACUGGAACUGAGACACGGUCCAGACUCCUACGGGAGGCAGCAGUAGGGAAUAUUGCUCAAUGGGGGAAACCCUGAAGCAGCAACGCCGCGUGGAGGAUGAAGGUUUUCGGAUUGUAAACUCCUUUUGUUAGAGAAGAUAAUGACGGUAUCUAACGAAUAAGCACCGGCUAACUCCGUGCCAGCAGCCGCGGUAAUACGGAGGGUGCAAGCGUUACUCGGAAUCACUGGGCGUAAAGAGCGCGUAGGCGGGAUAGCAAGUCAGAUGUGAAAUCCUAUGGCUUAACCAUAGAACUGCAUUUGAAACUGUUAUUCUAGAGUAUGGGAGAGGUAGGUGGAAUUCUUGGUGUAGGGGUAAAAUCCGUAGAGAUCAAGAGGAAUACUCAUUGCGAAGGCGACCUGCUAGAACAUAACUGACGCUGAUGCGCGAAAGCGUGGGGAGCAAACAGGAUUAGAUACCCUGGUAGUCCACGCCCUAAACGAUGAAUGCUAGUUGUUGUGGAGCUUGUCUCUGCAGUAAUGCAGCUAACGCAUUAAGCAUUCCGCCUGGGGAGUACGGUCGCAAGAUUAAAACUCAAAGGAAUAGACGGGGACCCGCACAAGCGGUGGAGCAUGUGGUUUAAUUCGAAGAUACACGAAGAACCUUACCUAGGCUUGACAUUGAUAGAAUCCGCUAGAGAUAGUGGAGUGCUAGCUUGCUAGAACUUGAAAACAGGUGCUGCACGGCUGUCGUCAGCUCGUGUCGUGAGAUGUUGGGUUAAGUCCCGCAACGAGCGCAACCCUCGUCCUUAGUUGCUAACUAUUCGGUAGAGCACUCUAAGGAGACUGCCUUCGCAAGGAGGAGGAAGGUGAGGAUGACGUCAAGUCAUCAUGGCCCUUACGCCUAGGGCUACACACGUGCUACAAUGGGAAGCACAAAGAGAUGCAAUAUUGUGAAAUGGAGCAAAUCUAUAAAACUUCUCUCAGUUCGGAUUGUAGUCUGCAACUCGACUACAUGAAGCUGGAAUCGCUAGUAAUCGUAAAUCAGCUAUGUUACGGUGAAUACGUUCCCGGGUCUUGUACUCACCGCCCGUCACACCAUGGGAGUUGUAUUCGCCUUAAGUCGGAAUGCCAAACUGGCUACCGCCCACGGCGG